UAUGGAGAGUUUGAUCCUGGCUCAGAGUGAACGCUGGCGGCGUGCCUAAUACAUGCAAGUCGAACGAUGAAGCUUCUAGCUUGCUAGAAGCGGAUUAGUGGCGCACGGGUGAGUAACGCAUAGGUCAUGUGCCUCUUAGUUUGGGAUAGCCAUUGGAAACGAUGAUUAAUACCAGAUACUCCCUACGGGGGAAAGAUUUAUCGCUAAGAGAUCAGCCUAUGUCCUAUCAGCUUGUUGGUAAGGUAAUGGCUUACCAAGGCUAUGACGGGUAUCCGGCCUGAGAGGGUGAACGGACACACUGGAACUGAGACACGGUCCAGACUCCUACGGGAGGCAGCAGUAGGGAAUAUUGCUCAAUGGGGGAAACCCUGAAGCAGCAACGCCGCGUGGAGGAUGAAGGUUUUAGGAUUGUAAACUCCUUUUGUUAGAGAAGAUAAUGACGGUAUCUAACGAAUAAGCACCGGCUAACUCCGUGCCAGCAGCCGCGGUAAUACGGAGGGUGCAAGCGUUACUCGGAAUCACUGGGCGUAAAGAGCGCGUAGGCGGGAUAGUCAGUCAGGUGUGAAAUCCUAUGGCUUAACCAUAGAACUGCAUUUGAAACUACUAUUCUAGAGUGUGGGAGAGGUAGGUGGAAUUCUUGGUGUAGGGGUAAAAUCCGUAGAGAUCAAGAGGAAUACUCAUUGCGAAGGCGACCUGCUGGAACAUUACUGACGCUGAUUGCGCGAAAGCGUGGGGAGCAAACAGGAUUAGAUACCCUGGUAGUCCACGCCCUAAACGAUGGAUGCUAGUUGUUGGAGGGCUUAGUCUCUCCAGUAAUGCAGCUAACGCAUUAAGCAUCCCGCCUGGGGAGUACGGUCGCAAGAUUAAAACUCAAAGGAAUAGACGGGGACCCGCACAAGCGGUGGAGCAUGUGGUUUAAUUCGAAGAUACACGAAGAACCUUACCUAGGCUUGACAUUGAGAGAAUCCGCUAGAAAUAGUGGAGUGUCUAGCUUGCUAGACCUUGAAAACAGGUGCUGCACGGCUGUCGUCAGCUCGUGUCGUGAGAUGUUGGGUUAAGUCCCGCAACGAGCGCAACCCCCUUUCUUAGUUGCUAACAGGUCAUGCUGAGAACUCUAAGGAUACUGCCUCCGUAAGGAGGAGGAAGGUGGGGACGACGUCAAGUCAUCAUGGCCCUUACGCCUAGGGCUACACACGUGCUACAAUGGGGUGCACAAAGAGAAGCAAUACUGCGAAGUGGAGCCAAUCUUCAAAACGCCUCUCAGUUCGGAUUGUAGGCUGCAACUCGCCUGCAUGAAGCUGGAAUCGCUAGUAAUCGCAAAUCAGCCAUGUUGCGGUGAAUACGUUCCCGGGUCUUGUACUCACCGCCCGUCACACCAUGGGAGUUGUGUUUGCCUUAAGUCAGGAUGCUAAAUUGGCUACUGCCCACGGCACACACAGCGACUGGGGUGAAGUCGUAACAAGGUAACCGUAGGUGAACCUGCGGUUGGAUCACCUCCUU
rnacentral:rRNA from 1 species